rnacentral:ncRNA from 2 species
CACGGUACGUGCGGACUGUGAACGUCUGAACGUGAAACAACAAGCGACGGCGUCCAGGAAGCCGGUGCGAGUCCGGCACGGUCCCGCCACUGUGAGUGGAUAGCCACCACCAACAUGCCACUGCCGGGUGCCCCGGCGGGAAGGCGGUGGGCGGCGAGGAGCCACGAGUCAGGAGACUGCCGCCGUCGUACCGAUUCGU